UACGGAGGGAGCAAGCGUUACUCGGAAUUAUUGGGCGUAAAGGGCGCGUAGGCGAUUCGAAAAGUCAGCUGUGAAAGCCCAGGGCCUAACCCUGGAAGUGCAGCUGAUACUGUUGAAUUUGAGUUCCGGAGAGGAAGACAGAAUUCCCGGUGUAGCGGUGAAAUGCGUAGAUAUCGGGAGGAAUACCAGUGGCGAAGGCGGCCUUCUGGACGGAUACUGACGCUGAGGCGCGAAAGCUAGGGGAGCAAACGGG
rnacentral:rRNA from 1 species